GACGAACGCUGGCGGCGUGCUUAACACAUGCAAGUCGAACGGAAAGGCCCCUUUGGGGGUACUCGAGUGGCGAACGGGUGAGUAACACGUGAGUAACCUGCCCUUGACUUCGGGAUAACUUCAGGAAACUGGGGCUAAUACCGGAUAGGAAUCCUUGCUGCAUGGUGGGGGUUGGAAAGCUUCGGCGGUUUUGGAUGGACUCGCGGCUUAUCAGCUUGUUGGUGGGGUAGUGGCUUACCAAGGCUUUGACGGGUAGCCGGCCUGGGAGGGCGACCGGCCACAUUGGGACUGAGAUACGGCCCAGACUCCUACGGGAGGCAGCAGUGGGGAAUAUUGCACAAUGGGCGGAAGCCUGAUGCAGCAACGCCGCGUGUGGGAUGACGGCCUUCGGGUUGUAAACCGCUUUCAGCAGGGGCGAAGCUUGUGGUGACGGUACCUGCAGAAGAAGCACCGGCUAACUACGUG
rnacentral:rRNA from 1 species